rnacentral:rRNA from 1 species
GAUGAACGCUGGCGGCGUGCCUAAUACAUGCAAGUCGAGCGAACGGACGAGAAGCUUGCUUCUCUGAGGUUAGCGGCGGACGGGUGAGUAAGACGUGGAUAACCUACCUAUAAGACUGGGAUAACUUCGGGAAACCGGAGCUAAUACCGGAGAAUAUUUUGAACGGCAUGGUUCAAAAGUGAAAGACGGUCUUGCUGUCACUUAUAGAUGGAUACGCGUUGCAUUAGCUAGUUGGUAAGGUAACGGCCUACCAAGGCAACGAUGCAUAGCCGACCUGAGAGGGUGAUCAGCCACACUGGAACUGAGACACGGUCCAGACUCCUACGGGAGGCAGCAGUAGGGAAUCUUCCGCAAUGGGCGCAAGCCUGACGGAGCAACGCCGCGUGAGUGAUGAAGGUCUUCGGAUCGUAAAACUCUGUUAUUAGGGAAGAACAUCUGUGUAAGUAUCUCUGCACAUCUUGACGGUACCUAAUCAGAAAGCAACGGCUAACUACGUG